UACGUAGGGUGCAAGCGUUGUCCGGAAUUAUUGGGCGUAAAGAGCUCGUAGGCGGUCUGUCGCGUCUGCUGUGAAAACUCAGGGCUUAACCCUGAGCUUGCAGUGGGUACGGGCAGACUAGAGUGCGGUAGGGGAGACUGGAAUUCCCGGUGUAGCGGUGAAAUGCGCAGAUAUCAGGAGGAACACCGGUGGCGAAGGCGGGUCUCUGGGCCGAAACUGACGCUGAGGAGCGAAAGCGUGGGGAGCAAACAGG
rnacentral:rRNA from 1 species